rnacentral:rRNA from 1 species
CGAGAAGACCCUAUGGAGCUUUAGACACUAAGGUAGUUCACGUCAAACGCCCCAGUUUAAUGGGCCGAACUAAGUGAACCCUAUCCUAAUGUCUUUGGUUGGGGCGACCCAGG